AUACACAAAACACACCUCGUCGUCUCCGGCAUUUCCAUCUCCAUCUCCGACUCCCUAUGUUCUCUCACGACCGGAUUUGUCUCCACCAGCUUCUUCUGCGUCUCUGUGUUAAACCCAAAUUAAUUUCGUCUCAGUCACAUCCGGCUCCGUCUUUAUCUCUGUGUUUCUGGGACAAACCCAAAUCGAUUUCGUCUCAGUCACGUCCGGCUUCAGUUGCAACUUACUCUAAUUUUUGCACAGCACAUUGCAGACUGCUCUAGAUUGUUCCCAGAUAUGACUCAUCACGCUUCUCAAUCUCUCUUUGGUAGAUGCAACACGAAACUGAGACUUCAGUCUCAGCAGGCCGAUGCUAAGCUUGAUUCUUAUAAGCAGGCAGGUAUAUGAUGUAUAUUGUUCACUUUACUGUUUUCUUAAAUGGAAUUUUGUUAAUUAUCCGUAACUCAUUCCAAUUGUGGUCACCAAUCUUGGAGGGUUUUGAUGACACGGAGAAGAUUUAAGCGGACACUUAUGUUUGGGUCGGUAAAGAUGAUCGUAGCAUCUAUGGCAAUGGGACUUCAAGGAUUGGAGAUUGCUUCAUGCGGAAGUGUGCAUUAGAACAUAAGUUUCUCUCCAAUUGGAAGAUGCCUUGGGGGUCAAGGAAGGUGGUGUUUCCCAGAAAAGCAGAGUAAUAAUGAAAGUCUACAAAAAGUGUGUGGUUAGUAUAAUUUUACUACAGUGGGAGUCUAGCUCCAACAGUCUUUUUUUUUUUUGAAAAAAAGCUCCAACAGUCUUGAAUUGUUAAAUUAAUUGUUCUGAUUUGGUAGGCUCAUACUUUUUCUUUAAGAUUUGUGCAACUUUAAACUAGAAUUAAUUAA